rnacentral:rRNA from 1 species
AUACGGAGGGUGCAAGCGUUAUUCGGAAUCACUGGGCGUAAAGGGUGCGUAGGCGGUUUGGUAAGUCUGAUGUGAAAUCCUAUGGCUCAACCAUAGAACUGCAUUGGAAACUGCUAAACUAGAAUACUGAAGGGGCAGAUGGAAUUAGUGGUGUAGGAGUAAAAUCCGUAGAUAUCACUAGGAAUACCGAAAGCGAAAGCGAUCUGCUGGGAAGUUAUUGACGCUGAGGCACGAAAGCGUGGGGAGCAAACGGGAUUAGAUACCCCAGUAGUCC